rnacentral:rRNA from 1 species
AUUGAACGCUGGCGGCGUGCCUAACACAUGCAAGUCGAGCGGUAACAGGUGUAGCAAUACAUGCUGACGAGCGGCGGACGGGUGAGUAACGCUUGGGAAUCUGCCUGUUAGUGGGGGACAACCCGGGGAAACUCGGGCUAAUACCGCAUACGCACUACGGUGGAAAGCCGGGGACCGCAAGGCCUGGCGCUAACAGAUGAGCCCAAGUCGGAUUAGCUAGUUGGUAGGGUAACGGCCUACCAAGGCGACGAUCCGUAACUGGUCUGAGAGGACGACCAGUCACACCGGAGCUGAGACACGGUCCGGACUCCUACGGGAGGCAGCAGUGGGGAAUAUUGGACAAUGGGCGCAAGCCUGAUCCAGCGAUGCCGCGUGUGUGAAGAAGGCCGUGCGGGGUUGUAAAGCACUUUCAGUAGGGAAGAAAGACCGAGUGCUAAUAUCACUCGGUCUUGACGUUACUUACAGAAGAAGCACCGGCUAACUCCGUGCCAGC